UACGGGGGGGGCAAGCGUUGUUCGGAAUUACUGGGCGUAAAGGGCGCGUAGGUGGCCAACUAAGUCAGACGUGAAAUCCCUCGGCUUAACCGGGGAACUGCGUCUGAUACUGGAUGGCUUGAGUUUGGGAGAGGGACGCGGAAUUCCAGGUGUAGCGGUGAAAUGCGUAGAUAUCUGGAGGAAUACCGGUGGCGAAGGCGGCAUCCUGGACCGGCAUUGACGCUGAUGAGCGAAAGCUAGGGGAGCAAACGGG
rnacentral:rRNA from 1 species